GAUGAACGCUAGCGGGAGGCCUAACACAUGCCAGCCGAGCGGUAUUUGUUCUUCGGAACAGAGAGAGCGGCGCACGGGUGCGGAACACGUGUGCAACCUGCCUUUAUCUGGGGGAUAGCCUUUCGAAAGGAAGAUUAAUACCCCAUAAUAUAUUGAGUGGCAUCAUUUGAUAUUGAAAACUCCGGUGGAUAGAGAUGGGCACGCGCAAGAUUAGAUAGUUGGUGAGGUAACGGCUCACCAAGUCAAUGAUCUUUAGGGGGCCUGAGAGGGUGAUCCCCCACACUGGUACUGAGACACGGACCAGACUCCUACGGGAGGCAGCAGUGAGGAAUAUUGGACAAUGGGUUAGCGCCUGAUCCAGCCAUCCCGCGUGAAGGACGACGGCCCUAUGGGUGGUAAACUUCUUUUGUAUAGGGAUAAACCUACUCUCGUGAGAGUAGCUGAAGGUACUAUACGAAUAAGCACCGGCUAACUCCGUG
rnacentral:rRNA from 1 species